rnacentral:misc_RNA from 1 species
AGCAGCCGCGGUAAUUCCAGCUCCAAUAGCGUAUAUUAAAGUUGCUGCAGUUAAAAAGCCCGUAGUUGAAUUUCGGGAUCAAUAUGUUGGUCGUGCCUCGGUACGUACUAGCUUAUUGGUUUCUCCCUUCUGACGAACCAUGAUGUCAUUUAUUUGGUGUUAUGGGAAAUCAGGACUGUUACUUUGAAAAAAUUAGAGUGUUUAAAGCAGGCUCACGCUUGAAUACAUUAGCAUGGAAUAAUGAAAUAGGACGUUUGAUUCUAUUUUGUUGGUUUCUAGGAUCGACGUAAUGAUUAAUAGGGAUAGUUGGGGGCAUUAGUAUUCAAUUGUCAGAGGUGAAAUUCUUGGAUUUAUUGAAGACUAACUACUGCGAAAGCAUUUGCCAAGGAUGUUUUCAUUAAUCAAGAACGAAAGUUAGGGGAUCGAAGACGAUCAGAUACCGUCGUAGUCUUAACCAUAAACUAUGCCGACUAGGGAUCGGAUGAUGUUAAUUUUUUAAUGACUCAUUCGGCGCCUUACG